GCAAUAUACAGAAAAUAAAUUGGCACAAAAGAGCGAAAAGUAAAACUCACUCAUCAAGAAUCAUGAGAUCUGCUAGUAUCUUUCUGGUUUCUUGUAUUCUCAUGUUCUUCAUCAUGAACAAUGUCAAAGACGUGGAAGCUGGAUUGACUCCAAUGGAUAACCAAUGCGGCCGGAAGGAUAUAUUUGUCGGGGGAUGCGGUCCUGACGGAAACAAAACGUGCAUAAACGACUUUGUUAAGAAAGGAGGUGAAGGGAAUAGGCCUUCUAGUUGCGAGUGUGAUGACUUCGGCGAAGAACAUUUAUGCCGAUGUAAUUUCUCUUGCUAGCUUUUGUUAUCGUCUAUAAACAAAAUUCUGUAACCGAAAAUAGUGGAGAAUAAUAACACAGAACAAACUAUUUUUUGUUGUGUGUCUAAAAUCAUAAGAAAGUUUGAAAAUAAAAAA